AAAAGAAAAAAAAAAGAAAGAAGAAGAAGACAGAGGAGAGGGUGGAGCGGAGGAGACGAACGACGGAGCUUGAAGCGCUUGUCAGCAACGGUGGGCCGAACAGUUGGGGAAGGGAGAACGCCGACAGUAAGUCCUAGUGGUGUGAUUUUUGUUGUUCCUUUCCAAAACCCUAAUACAUUUUACUAGAACGGUGUACCUAGGUUAUUAUAGAGGGAAGUUGGUGAGUCCUUGUGAAGAAGAAGGCAUGGGGUGCUGAGAGGAAAGAAAGAUCAAGAAGAAGGUGGGAAGAAGAGGCCGAAAAUUGAGGGGGCACGACCUGACCCGACCCGACCCACCUAUACAGAAUCGAAACCCAAAUUUUCUCAUUUCACACCAUUUGAUUCGUCUUUAUUCGGAUUUAGGUACUUGACUCACACAUUCCAUAACGCCUUAUUAUAGGAAAAUUUCAAGCUUAGUCAAGGGGACACUUGAAGACUAGAUAAAGUUUUAGGAAGUCUACGAUCAGGAGAAAAGUAGAUCUGGGUCGGUGGCGGGGACGUGUGGAGUCGUGCAGCUGUAGACGGGAGCCCUUAGAUUGAGUCCUCUUCUCCCAUGUCGUUUUGGUUAUGAUUUUGACGUUUUUAGAAAACCUGCGAUAUUUUAUAACCGUUUCUUUUUACGUGACUUCGCAGAUUCUCGUUAUGUGUUUUGUAGUAUUUUUUUUAAACGUAUAUCAGGCAACUUUUUAACUUUUAGUCCCUUGUUCAAACUACAAGAAGUAUUGAAAAGUUUUUUUUUUUA